rnacentral:rRNA from 1 species
AUGAACCUACGGGGGGCAGCAGUGGGGAAUAUUGCACAAUGGGGGGAACCCUGAUGCAGCGACGCCGCGUGGGUGAAGAAGUCAUUCGUGACGUAAAGCCCUAUUAGCAGGGAAGAAAAUGACGGUACCUGACUAAGAAGCCCCGGCUAACUACGUGCCAGCAGCCGCGGUAAUACGUAGGGGGCAAGCGUUAUCCGGAUUUACUGGGUGUAAAGGGAGCGUAGACGGAGGCGCAAGUCCGGAGUGAAAGCCCACGGCCCAACCGUGGGCCGCCUCUGGAAACUGUGCGG